rnacentral:lncRNA from 1 species
AAACAGAAGAUACCAGAAGACCUUGUUCGACUCUAUAAUUUUUUUUUAUCAUUGUUCUGAUACUAGGUAGUUACUUGCUAGAGUAAUUUUACUUUGAUACUAAUAAAUUCGUUACUCUGUUUUUGACGUUCAGGUAUUGGAUGGAAAUGGAGUCUCCAAGUGUUUUGAUGACAUAUAUCCUUUUAUUUAUAGUGUGGUUAAUAUCAUAAUACGAAAGUAGUACAACUAACUGUUAAAAAAAAUCCCUAACGAUAUCUACGAUUCUUGGUUUUGGAAUUAAUAUAGUUUUCGCCGUCGUUUUUGCUGCACUUGGAAUUACAAAAAGGAAUGCAAAAGAAAGUAUGAGAGUAGGUUGUCAGGAAUAAACAUGUGAAUGAUAUUUCUAUUUAAUAUAUGAUUUGAUUAUGAUAUAUAUGUGAAUGAAUAUGCAAGUAUGCUUGCAUUAAGAAAAGAUGUAAAGUC